UUAUCCGUAAAAUUUUAGAAAACUCCCAAAAGGUAGGCAACCAGGAAUACAUUUCAAUUAUCUUUCAUAUCGCAUACGAGAGCUGCUGCCAUCAUCGAUGAAACGAGGAAACCUUUUGUUUGUAGCGAUAGGAACUAUCGGGUACAAAAAAGGGAUUGGAGAAUUUUUUUUUAUUCAGAAAAUGGCUCGAAUGUCUUGAACGCUAAAUUUUGUUGAUUGAAUAUUUUACGCUUUAGGCGGUUUUAAUUGAUCAGUGUUCUUUUCGACAGUGAUAUUUGGUCGGAUAAUUCGUUGGAUUAUAUUAUCAACUGUCGAUUUGUCUCUACGGAGGAUUUUAGAUAUCAGCCUUUUUUUUGUGGUAAAAGAAGUCAACGUCUCGCGAUUAUUAGGGAAUCGGUAAUCGGAGGCGUUUAACCCCAUAUAUCGAAAUCAUCUCGAGGAAAAUAAAAAUUACUUUGAAGAGAAUAUAUGUCAUUCGAUGGUCGCAAUACUGUAAUAUUCAUGGUCGCCUUCUAAGGAUAUAAUUAAAGGAAUGAACACCCGUUCCAGGAAGUGCAGUACUCCGUACAAUCCAGUAAUCUGGCUAAGUACCGCAUAGCGGAAUUUGUUUUUUGGUCAUUUAUUUUGCAUUCCGUAACUUCCACGGGCCAAUAUCUACGUUUAGUAAUCAUCAACUGGGAACUACACUCAGCGGAUAUUGUUUAACUGUUUUCUGUAUAUUAGUUAUGUAAGUUUUGCGUAAUGUCUUUAGGGGACUGGACGAAGACCUACCAUACAGAUCUCAUCCACUCCUCUUCUUCCCUCUCAUGAGAGUUUUCUAAGUGCACGAAACCCCUCCAACCAUUUCAAAUCUUGUUUUAUUGAUUAUAUAUUUAUAGAUAAGCCAGUAUAUAAUAUAUUUCUAUUGAAUUGA